rnacentral:rRNA from 1 species
UACGUAGGGAGCAAGCGUUGUCCGGAAUCAUUGGGCGUAAAGCGCGCGUAGGUGGCUUCGUAAGUCCGUUGUGAAAGUCAAAGGCUCAACCUUUGAAAGCCGAUGGAUACUGCGGAGCUAGAGUACGGAAGAGGCGAGUGGAAUUCCUGGUGUAGCGGUGAAAUGCGCAGAUAUCAGGAGGAACGCCAAUUGCGAAGGCAGCUCGCUGGGACGUAACUGACGCUGAGACGCGAAAGCGUGGGGAGCAAACAGG